rnacentral:rRNA from 1 species
GUACACUCCUGCGGGAGGCAGCAGUGGGGAAUAUUGCACAAUGGGCGCAAGCCUGAUGCAGCCAUGCCGCGUGUAUGAAGAAGGCCUUCGGGUUGUAAAGUACUUUCAGCGGGGAGGAAGGCGAUAAGGUUAAUAACCUUGUUGAUUGACGUUACCCGCAGAAGAAGCACCGGCUAACUCCGUGCCAGCAGCCGCGGUAAUACGGAGGGUGCAAGCGUUAAUCGGAAUUACUGGGCGUAAAGCGCACGCAGGCGGUCUGUCAAGUCGGAUGUGAAAUCCCCGGGCUCAACCUGGGAACUGCAUUCGAAACUGGCAGGGUAGAGUCUUGUAGAGGGGGGUAGAAUUCCAGGUGUAGCGGUGAAAUGCGUAGAGAUCUGGAGGAAUACCGGUGGCGAAGGCGGCCCCCUGGACAAAGACUGACGCUCAGGUGCGAAAGCGUGGGGAGCAAACAGGAUUAGAUACCCGUGUAGUCC